rnacentral:rRNA from 1 species
GACGAACGCUGGCGGCGUGCCUAAUACAUGCAAGUCGAACGCUUCUUUCCUCCCGAGUGCUUGCACUCAAUUGGAAAGAGGAGUGGCGGACGGGUGAGUAACACGUGGGUAACCUACCCAUCAGCGGGGGAUAACACUUGGAAACAGGUGCUAAUACCGCAUAACAGUUUAUGCCGCAUGGCAUAAGAGUGAAAGGCGCUUUCGGGUGUCGUUGAUGGAUGGACCCGCGGUGCAUUAGCUAGUUGGUGAGGUAACGGCUCACCAAGGCCACGAUGCAUAGCCGACCUGAGAGGGUGAUCGGCCACACUGGGACUGAGACACGGCCCAGACUCCUACGGGAGGCAGCAGUAGGGAAUCUUCGGCAAUGGACGAAAGUCUGACCGAGCAACGCCGCGUGAGUGAAGAAGGUUUUCGGAUCGUAAAACUCUGUUGUUAGAGAAGAACAAGGACGUUAGUAACUGAACGUCCCCUGACGGUAUCUAACCAGAAAGCCACGGCUAACUACGUG